GUCACGUCUGUCGGUAUUUUGUAAGGACUUUGUGCAGAAAAUUGCGCUGUUGGUCAUUUGGGCUGUAGAGGCAUACUAGUGUAAUUGGGUUAUUAUUGAUGAUACAAUGUAGGAUCACAAAUCUGCCUUGGCUGUCUUUCUUGACCCGAAGUGUUUCUACGGUUAGGGAGUUGUGUAAUAGGAUGGUGACUCCUUUGGAUUUUGAUGUGUGUGUUGCAUGAUAUUGUACUGCAUACUCUCUGGUGGCAAAUGUGGGAAUCCGGUUUGUAACAAAGUGUGUUUCUUGUACGCAGACUAUAUCUGCCUUAAUACGCUUUAAU